AUUUCUUAGGCCGCUCCCGCGGCAUAUGGAGGUUCCCAGGCUAGGGGUUGAAUCGGAGCUGUAGCCACCAGCCUACGCCAGAGCCACAGCAACGCAGGAUCUGAGCCACAUCUGUGACCCACACCACAGCUCAUGACAACGCCGGAUCCUUAACCCACUGAGCAAGGCCAGGGAUCGAACCCGCAACCUCAUGGUUAACCACUGAGCCACGACAGGAACUCUAAUUUUUAUGCUUUUAGAUAUAUCUUCAUGUUAACAUGACAGGGCACUGGAGAGAUGCUAUGAACAGUGGCUUCCAAUUUAGGCAUGGGUGCAAUGCCCUCUCUUUAAAAGUUUUCACACUAAACCCAACAACAUUGAUGAAGGGAGGGAAAAAGAAGCGAGAGGAUGAGUGGAGUAAACAUGAAAAUAGGAGGCAAAAAAAAUAAAAGGACUAACACAACACCCACACAGUAGCCAUGGUAUGCUGGUUGAAAAGAAUAUAAAUGAUCUUUAUUUUCAUUUUGAUUAGCUGUCUUUCUUAAACUUUCUCCUUGCAUGUUUUCCUUUCCCCAGUUCCCACAGUAAAUGCUUUAAAGGAAGAGAAUGAGUUUCUCAGCCUCUGAUGCAAUGCCAGAUUUUCUAGGAUUGCAAAUCCUAGGUUUAACUUCUAAAGUUCCUAUUUUAAUUUCUAGUAUGCAAAUCUUGCUCUUUAGAAAUUCCUUUUCUACUGUCUUUUAGUGUAAUUAUUUAUUGCUUUUAAAGGAUCACCUAGAAAGAAGAAAAACAUUUUUUUUUGAAAAGAAAAAAGAAAUUCCGCCCUUUCUCAAACCAUCAACACUUUUUUGGAAAAAAAAAAAUGACAAGAAAAAAUAUUAUAAAGAAAUAUAGGAGUUCCCAUCAUGGCUUAGUGGAAAUGACUCUGACUAGAAUCCAUGAGGACACAGGUUCAAUCCCUGGCCUCGCUCAGUGGGUUAAGGAUCUGGUGUUGCCAUGAGCUGUUGUAUAGGUUGAAGACGUGGCUGAUAUUGCUGUGGCUGUGGCAUAGGCUGGCUGCUGCAGCUCUGAUUUGGCCCCUGGGACUCUCCAUAUGCUGUGUGUGUGGCCCUAAAAACACACACACAAAAUAAAAAAAGAAAAAAAAAAAAAGAAAUGUAACAUUGCCCAGUCUAAGCAUAUUUAAAUUCCGUAGCAUUGAGAGUCACCGACUGUUCACUGGGUAGAAAAAUCACCUUUUAAAUGCAUCUGCACUGUUUACCCUGCUUCCCAACACAGAAGUUUAGGACCAGCCCAUGUCCUCUUUAUAGACAAAAGGAGCAGGGGUCAAUAGUUCCAGAAUCCAACUAUAUUUGUUUAACAUUAACACUCUUUGUUGUCUGGGGGGUUGUGCUUUUUGUUUGUUUUUUUGCAUAAGGUUGGUUAUGAACAUUUUUAUAGAUUUAAACAGUUCUAAAUUCAAAAAAUGGAGGAAAAUAAGUCACUUGUUUUGAUUUAAAACUCUGUCUUGAACAUUCAAAUUACCACACUUCUCAGAUAAUCUGAUGACCCUCAUCUUUUGGAUGUACCCCAGCUUUUUUGUCACUCUGUGUACACACAGCUUUAUUUACGUCCAACCUUAACUCCGAGGCUUUUCAGUGAAAGUGUCUUACUUUACAGAUGCAUUCCUCACUUCUAAAAAACUUCCCCAUCACUUAAACAUUUCACUAAAUCCUUCUUCCGUGAAGAACUUUUCAGACUGUUCAGGAAAAAAAAAUGUGACAACACUACCUUUGUGCCUUUUGAACAGUGUCAAUUUUUUCCCCUAUACCUCUACUAGAUUGUAUCAAAGAAGAAUGUUUGGGGCUGCAAGUGACAGAGAACCAUGCUUAAAUCUGUUGUUAAAUCCUAGGAAUCCAUAUUCUCUCACUGAACUGGUAGCCAGGAGACAGGUCAUGCUAGGGCUCUUUCAAGGGCUCACCAGUAUUGUCAAGGACCCAGACACUUCUCACACUCGCAUGCCAUCAUCCUCAGCGUGCUGGGUUUUAUUCCAAAUCCUGUUGCCUCACUGUACCUGUUGCAUGAUGGCUGCUACACAUCCUCACACAGUGCUUAAACGUAAGAAUCAAGGGUAUUGCGAAAGAUGUUUUCUCAGAAGGCUCUGUCCUUUGUUUGGGAAGGAACAUUUCUGGAAGUCUUCCUUAGAGCCACAUAAGUCAGAACUGGAUCAUAUGGAUACUCCUUGUUACAAGCAAGGCUGUGAAAGUAUCUCUCUUAAACCGCUAGUUAAAUUCAGGCUCUUUUUUGGUAUGAUUUGAAUGAAUAAAUCUCUUUUGCAUACAUGUAAUUCUCCCCACCUCCCCCACAGCUCGCAAUUUCCCGCAAGCCACCAAAAUAUCCCACCUGAACUACCCCAACAAUUCCUAACUGGUUUCCUCAGAGCCCCACCUAUCACCUCUACCAUGUCACUUCCUCUUUAAUGGAUUAUGUUCAAAAAUCCUAUCACGAGUGACAAGGUCCUGAAUGGUCUGGUCACACCCACUCUUCUAGCUUCCUCUCCUGCAGUGCUUCAGCUCAGUCUGCACUCAGAUCACAAUGGCCAUCUCUCUGCUCCUUUAAAAAGCCCCAGCCCCUUCACAUCUCCCAGCUUUCCCACAUGCAAUUCCCUCUGCAGUGCUCACCCAUUCUCCACCUCCCUAGUCCCUUCUGCCUCAUUUCUCAUUAGUUUUCAUGUCUCCAUUUAAAUAUUCUUACUGCAUGCAAAGGUUAUUUACAAGGUGUUAUCAAGUCAAUGAAACACAGAAAUAUCCAAAGUUGUUAGGUAUAAAUGGGAGGGAUGUAAGAGAAUGAUUGUUUUUUAUUUCAGCAGUUAGUAUAUAUUCAUCUAUUAAGAAAAUGCUGGGAUUCCUGUCGUGGUGCAGCAGAAACAAAUCCCAUUAGGAACCAUGAUGCUGCAGGUUCAAUCCCUGGCCUCGAUCAGUGGGUUAAGGAUCCUGUGUUGCUGUGGCUGUGGUAUAGGCCGGCAGCUGUAGCUCUGAUUGGACUGCUAGCCUGGGAACCUCCAUAUGCUGCAGGUUCAGUUCUUAAAAGAAAAAAAAAAAAAAAGAAAGAAAGAAAAACAAAAAAAAGAAAAUUCUACCCCUUUGUGAAAUCAUGCUAGUUGAGGAGUCAUUUGGCAGGACUCAUUUUCUUUUCCUAAAUGUGUUCCCUCUUGCACCCAUUUGAUUAACAGUGUAGCAGUGCAGCACCACUCCUUCCUAGCACUGAGGGUUCCUUAGACAGGGCCCUCCUCCUUGGUCCAGCAUCAUCUCUGUAAUAGGAUGACACUCUGAUGACUUGUCUCAUCCUCCUUUCACAGUUGUUGGCCUGUCUUUGUUCAGGUCUGCUGCUAUGAUUGCAAGUCUCCUCUCUAAAACUAAUCGCAAUAAAUAUAUGAAAAUGCAUCACUUUCUUAUGCUGCUGUGGCACAUAUCAUUUAAAAAUCCAAGGAUGCUGAAUUAAGAAAGAUAUAUUCCUUUUUUUGUAUUACAUAUAUUGAAGUACUCCACAACAUUUAUUUCUAUUAAUUGCAUAUAGUAACCUAUUUGAGAAAGACAUGUCUUUCACUACUUGCACCACCUCAGAAAGUCCUGAAGAGGCUGGGAUGUCAGUUGCUUCAUAUCCAGUCCUUCGAUUGGUCCAUGAGCUCGGGGAACAUCAAAGUACUUCUUUGAGAAAGAGAGGCAUCCUGGAAGAUGCAGCUGGUUGCACCUCUGCCUUCAUUAGUGAAAAUGCCCCACGUCAAAGACUUUCUGUUCAACCAAUGAAAGGUACCCAUAUGGGUCUGAGAGCAAAAGCCUCCUGAACCUUGAUACAGUCCACAGGUACACCUCACUUCCAGCUCAGGGCUGGAUUUGGACUCCUUGGGUGCAGCGGCUAUGCACAGACUUCCAGAUCUAAAGGAAGGAAAUUCACAUCCUGAAUCAUGCUAAGAGCCGGACACUGGCAGGCUGUGGUCUAAGGUGCUGGUUAAGACUGCUGGAGCCGGAAUCAGCUCUCUUAGGUACAAAUCCAGCUCUGCCGAGAACCAACAGUCCAACCUUGGGCAACCGUUUCACCUUUCAGAGCUAAGUUCUCCUAGACAAUAAUAGUACCGACCUCCUAGGCUUGCUGUGAAGGGGAGUAAACGAGUUAAUCCACAGAAAGCGCUUGGAACAGCGCCUAGCUGGCACAUAACAAACUUGUUAAUAUUACAGCCUUUCAACUCAGGGCGCCUGCAACUCUGCAACAUUUUUCCUGGGCAUUGAAGGGCUCCAGUGAGUUACAAAGCUUGCGAUUCUGAGAUCUGAGUGGCCACAGCUGGGGACCCGGAAAGGAUAAAAGAAACCAGGGGAGAAGCAAAGGGAGAGCUGCGACAUUUACCCACCGGAGCCCACCUACAGCCUCGGUAUCCUGGCCUCCUCUCUCCUCUACGCUUUCUUCUUUCAGGACUCCGACUCGCAAGC
rnacentral:lncRNA from 1 species